rnacentral:rRNA from 1 species
GACGAACGCUGGCGGCGUGCUUAACACAUGCAAGUCGAACGGAAAGGCCCUGCUUUUGUGGGGUGCUCGAGUGGCGAACGGGUGAGUAACACGUGAGUAACCUGCCCUUGACUUUGGGAUAACUUCAGGAAACUGGGGCUAAUACCGGAUAGGAGCUCCUGCUGCAUGGUGGGGGUUGGAAAGUUUCGGCGGUUGGGGAUGGACUCGCGGCUUAUCAGCUUGUUGGUGGGGUAGUGGCUUACCAAGGCUUUGACGGGUAGCCGGCCUGAGAGGGUGACCGGCCACAUUGGGACUGAGAUACGGCCCAGACUCCUACGUUGGGCAGCAGUGGAGAAUAUUGCACAAUGGGCGGAAGCCUGAUACAGCAACGCCGCGUGCGGGAUGACGGCCUUCGGGUUGUAAACCGCUUUCACCUAUUACGAAGCGUGAGUGACGGUAAUAAGUAAAGAAGCACCGGCUAACUACGUG